CCUUACACAUGCAAGUCGAACGGCAGCGGGGGAAAGCUUGCUUUCCUGCCGGCGAGUGGCGAACGGGUGAGUAAUACAUCGGAACGUGCCCUGUAGUGGGGGAUAACUAGUCGAAAGAUUAGCUAAUACCGCAUACGACCUGAGGGUGAAAGUGGGGGACCGCAAGGCCUCAUGCUAUAGGAGCGGCCGAUGUCUGAUUAGCUAGUUGGUGGGGUAAAGGCCUACCAAGGCGACGAUCAGUAGCUGGUCUGAGAGGACGAUCAGCCACACUGGGACUGAGACACGGCCCAGACUCCUACGGGAGGCAGCAGUGGGGAAUUUUGGACAAUGGGCGAAAGCCUGAUCCAGCAAUGCCGCGUGUGUGAAGAAGGCCUUCGGGUUGUAAAGCACUUUUGUCCGGAAAGAAAUGGCUCUGGUUAAUACCCGGAGUUGAUGACGGUACCGGAAGAAUAAGGACCGGCUAACUACG
rnacentral:rRNA from 1 species